rnacentral:rRNA from 1 species
GACGAACGCUGGCGGCGUGCUUAACACAUGCAAGUCGAACGGAAAGGCCCUGCUUUUGUGGGGUGCUCGAGUGGCGAACGGGUGAGUAACACGUGAGUAACCUGCCCUUGACUUUGGGAUAUCUUCAGGAAACUGGGGCUAAUACCGGAUAGGAGCUCCUGCUUCAUGGUGGGGGUUGGAAAGUUUCGGCGGUUGGGGAUGGACUCGCGGCUUAUCAGCUUGUUGGUGGGGUAGUGGCUUACCAAGGCUUUGACGGGUAGCCGGCCUGAGAGGGUGACCGGCCACAUUGGGACUGAGAUACGGCGCAGACUCCUACGGGAGGCAGCAGUGGGGAAUAUUGCACAAUGGGCGGAAGCCUGAUGCAGCAACGCCGCGUGCGGGAUGACGGCCUUCGGGUUGUAAACCGCUUUCGCCUGUGACGAAGCGUGAGUGACGGUAAUGGGUAAAGAAGCACCGGCUAACUACGUG